UAGCCGUAAACGAUACUCGCUAGGUGUCGGCCACGGUGCGACCGUUGUCGGUGCCGUGGGGAAGCCGUGAAGCGAGCCACCUGGGAAGUACGGCCGCAAGGCUGAAACUUAAAGGAAUUGGCGGGGGAGCACAACAACGGGUGGAGCUUGCGGUUUAAUUGGAUUCAACGCCGGAAAUCUUACCGGGACCGACAGCAACAUGAAGGCCAAGCUGAAGACUUUGCCGGAUUAGCUGAGAGGAGGUGCAUGGCGUAGGUCGUGU
rnacentral:rRNA from 1 species